AUAAAAUCUGGGAGCCCAAGCAGCAUAUUUGUGGGAUUUGUCUGACAGAACGCAAUGGAAACAGAGCGUGGCAUUCGCUCCAUCUCCCCCAGAUGUUCCAUAAGUUUCUGCUUCCAUCAGCAAUGUAAGGAAGUGCCCAAUUCCUCCUACCCCCACAUUACUGAGAAUCUUAUCAAAUUUUUUGAUCUUUUCUGAUUGGGUGAGUACUUAAUGUAUGUUUGAAAAAUAUGCAUAAGGUUGACAUAUAUUUAAAAGUUAUUUAUAUGUCCUUUGUUCAUAGGCUUUGCUCAUUCUUGCUGUUUUUUUUCUUACUGGUUUUUUUUUUUUUUUUUUUGAGAUGGAGUCUCACUCUGUUGCCCAGGCUGGAGUGCAGUGGUGCGAUCUCGGCUCACUGCAAGCUCCGCCUCCCGGGUUCAUGCCAUUCUCCUGCCUCAGCCUCCCGUGUAGCUGGGACUACAGGUGCCCGCCACCACGCCUGGCUAAUUUUUGUAUUUUUUUUUUAGUAGAGAUGGGGGUUUCACCAUGUUAGCCAGGAUGGUCUUGAUCUCCUGACCUCGUGAUCAGCCUGCCUCGGCCUCCCAGAGUGCUGGGAUUAGAGGCAUGAGCCACCACACCCAGCCUUUUUCUUACUGAUUUGUGAGUUUUUUAUGCGUUAAGAAAAACAUCCUUGUCUGUAAUCUGUGUCACAAUAUUUUUCUCAUUUUGUCAAUUAUCUUUUGACUUUGUUCAUGCUGAUUUACUGACAUGUAUAUAGAUUUAAGGUCAUUUUUAUUUGGUCAUAUCUAUUAAUCUUUUCUAUUAUAGCUUCUGGGUUUUGUGUGAUGUUUGGAAAGGCUCUCUCUACUUCUUUGUGGUUAAAGUUCUUUAAUUUUUUCCUUCUACUAGUUUUAUGGUUUCAUUUUUUAUGUUUAAAUCUGACUCAUUUGGAAUUUACUUUUGUGUAAGUUGGGAACUAAGGUUCCAUCUUAACAUUUAUUUUUUCCAAAUAGUUACCUAGUGGUGCCGGCACCAUUUAUUAAUCUUUCCCCUAUUGAUUAAAAAUGCCACCUUUAUAAUCACAUACUAAAUCCCUGUAUGUUUUAGGGUGAAUAUCUGGACUUUUGGAGUACAACUGAACCACUACCCUCAUUCAGGUGGGGGCAGAGAGGCCAGAGCUCUGCACACUGGUUUCCUCUCUGGUUGCCAGCAUUACCCCUGAAGUUGCUUUGGGGGAGAUCUUGGGGUUCUGGGGAACAGAGUUUGGAAACUACCAGUCUGGACCACUCUUUUUUUUCACUGAUGAAAAUCUGUAGCUCGGUGUAAUUAAGUGACUUAAAAUAACAUUCUGACAUUGGCAAGUUGCCAUAUGUUCCCAAUCCCCUAACCCCCACCAUGUGCAUGGAGUAUAUCAUUGGUGUAGGAGGCUCACUGAUAUGAGAAUCACAGGAGAGCCCACAGCUGCUGUUAGGGACUGCUAUAGUGUCAGAAGGCCUCAUCCAUGUAUUUGGGGGAAAGAAUGUUCCAGAAAGAGGAAACAGCAAGUACAAAGUUUCUGAG
rnacentral:lncRNA from 1 species